rfam:Owenweeksia hongkongensis DSM 17368, complete genome.
CCGACUAAGGCAAGUCCCAUACAACCAGCUCCUGGUGAACUCCCCCAGGACGGGAACGUAGCAAGGGUAUCUGGUCGAGCGGUGUGAUAUGGAUCGCUUGCCUUUCU